rnacentral:tRNA from 1 species
UGGCAAGGGAGGUUAGCCCCCGUAAGUGGAUUUACAAACCACCGCCUAAAUUCAGCCACCUUACC